AGCGAACGCUGGCGGCAGGCUUAACACAUGCAAGUCGAGCGCCCCGCAAGGGGAGCGGCAGACGGGAGAGUAACACGUGGGAACGUACCUUUUGGUUCGGAACAACUGAGGGAAACUUCAGCUAAUACCGGAUAAGCCCUUACGGGGAAAGAUUUAUCGCCAAAAGAUCGGCCCGCGUCUGAUUAGCUAGUUGGUGAGGUAACGGCUCACCAAGGCGACGAUCAGUAGCUGGUCUGAGAGGAUGAUCAGCCUCAUUGGGACUGAGACGCGGCCCAAACUCCUACGGGAGGCAGCAGUGGGGAAUAUUGGACAAUGGGCGCAAGCCUGAUCCAGCCAUGCCGCGUGGAUGAUGAAGGCCCUAGGGUUGUAAAGUCCUUUCGACGGGGAAGAUAAUGACGGUACCGCAAGAAUAAGCCCCCGGCUAACUUCGUGCCAGCAGCCGCAGU
rnacentral:rRNA from 1 species